AGUGAACGCUGGCGGUAGGCCUAACACAUGCAAGUCGAACGGCAGCACAGUAAGAGCUUGCUCUUACGGGUGGCGAGUGGCGGACGGGUGAGGAAUACAUCGGAAUCUACUUUUUCGUGGGGAUAACGUAGGGAAACUUACGCUAAUACCGCAUACGACCUACGGGUGAAAGCAGGGGAUCUUCGGACCUUGCGCGAUUGAAUGAGCCGAUGUCGGAUUAGCUAGUUGGCGGGGUAAAGGCCCACCAAGGCGACGAUCCGUAGCUGGUCUGAGAGGAUGAUCAGCCACACUGGAACUGAGACACGGUCCAGACUCCUACGGGAGGCAGCAGUGGGGAAUAUUGGACAAUGGGCGCAAGCCUGAUCCAGCCAUACCGCGUGGGUGAAGAAGGCCUUCGGGAUGUAAAGCCCUUUUGUUGGGAAAGAAAAGCAGCAGGUUAAUACCCCGCUGUUCUGACGGUACCCAAAGAAUAAGCACCGGCUAACUUCGUG
rnacentral:rRNA from 1 species